rnacentral:rRNA from 1 species
GAUGAACGCUAGCUACAGGCUUAACACAUGCAAGUCGAGCGACCGGCGCACGGGUGAGUAACGCGUAUCCAACCUGCCCAUAAGUAGGGUAUAACCCGCAGAAAUGCGGACUCAUCCCCUAUGCUUAUGGAUGGGGAUGCGUCCGAUUAGCUUGUUGGGGAGGUAACGGCUCACCAAGGCUUCGAGGGGUCGGGGUGCUGAGAGGAAGGCCCACGAGAUAGGAACUGAGACACGGACCCAAAUCGUACGGGAGGGAGCAGUGAGGAAUAUUGGUCGAUGGGCGCGGGCCGGACCCAGCCGAGUAGAGGGCAGGAUGACGGGCUAGGGGUUGUAAAUUGCUUGUAUGCGGGGAGAGGUACCGGAAGAAUAAGGACCGGCUAAUUCCGUGCCAGCAGCCGCGGUAAUUC